AUCCCCAAUGCCACAACCUUCUACUUCACUGGAAAUCUUCUUCUUCUGCAAGAAUCUUCUCCUUCCUCUUCAAAAUCGCCGAUUCCCCUAUCUUCCUCUCUCUAAAAACUCUGAUACCCCUAUCCCUCUCUCCGAUGCCCUGAAAAACCCUCAGUCCUCUUUUAGUUUAGAGUUUUCUGAGUUUUAGUUUGAUUAAGUGCAGAAUGAAUCUGAGAAACUAAGAUUUUGUGCAAAGGGUUUGUAUCCUUUGAAGGGCUUAGGUCAACUUGUUGUGCAAAGGUUACAAACGAAGAUUGGAGAAACAAUUUGAAGACCCAAAUACUAAAUGGUUAGCUAGAAGACAAGCACAUUUACUAUGCGCUCAACAAGGGAUUCCUAUCUCCGAAUUUGGGGUCCAGGUUUUGAGGAGCAGCAGCAGCAGUAGUUCGGAAGCA